rnacentral:rRNA from 1 species
AUUGAACGCUGGCGGCAGGCCUAACACAUGCAAGUCGAACGAGUGGCGGACGGGUGAGUAAUGUCUGGGAAAUUGCCCGCUGGAGGGGGAUAACUACUGGAAACGGUAGCCAAUACCGCAUACUUUCGGAUGCGCCCAGAUGGGAUUAGCUAGUAGGUGGGGUAAAGGCUCACCAAGGCGACGAUCCCUAGCUGGUGUGAGAGGACGACCAGCGACACUGGAACUGAGACACGGUCUAGACUCCUACGGUAGGCAGCAGUGGGGAAUAUUGGACAAUGGGAGCAAGCCUGAUGCAGCCAUGCCGCGUGUAUGAAGAAGGCCUUCGGGUUGUAAAGUACUUACAGCGGGGAGGCGUUACCCGCAGAAGAAGCGCCGGCUAACUCCGUGCCAGCAGCCGCGGUAAUAC